UCAGCUGAAGCGGCUCUGUUUCAGUAGGAAACACGGGCGGUUGCACUGGUCUAGCCAUUUGAAGGUGAUAAAUACGUCGUUUCUCGUAUCGCGCUGCCCCAACCCUGGCGGGCGCUUUCAUCGGUGCCGCAUAUUGUAGAGAAAAGUUUAGAAAAUCGUUUUCCAUUCACCCUGCUGAAUGCUGUUGAGAAUGCCCUGCGUCGCAACUGCUUGUUUCCCUUCUUGCGUAAACUUUUUUCUGACCUUUUUUGUCUGGUUGCUUUACCUCUUUUCCAUCUCCUCUUAACCCACCUGGUCCGUUCUGUGGCUGCUGUGGAUGCUGGGCAGUGCGCGAAUCGGAAAGCCGAGCACAAUAAGGGAGAGCUUUAGUCAAUUUCCUUGAUUGCCUCGGCAAGUGGUACCGAAACUUUAAGAAACUUGCCAUUUAUCAGCGGCGGCUUUACGGAAACCGGUCCAUCCGGUUUGGACCCUGCCUUGCUUUGCGUUUUUCAAAGCCCAGCGGUGUGCGGUUCGUGGCAGCCCUAGCAACAUUUUGCUGAAUCCGAUCGGUCUCGGCAGCCUUGGUGCUAAUCAACGUGAUUAGGUGGAAAAAUGGGUAUCCCUUGGGCCGAAAACAGCAGGCUGCGAUCGUUAGAAAGGCUUCGAACUUUCAUGGCAAAUGGCAAAUGAUUCGAACAUUCACUGGUUGGUUCUGGAAAAAUGUGCAAGUGCAGAAUGAAAGGAUCGAAUUUUAGACUAUUUUAGGUGUUGGAAAAGUAAAAAGAGAGAAAUCAUAAGAUACUACUGUGAGAGGGGGGAAAACGGGUUUGAUUUUUUUUAAUAGUUUGUCUCGUUUCAGGCAUUGACCUCUCUUUACCUAUGCUUUCUACGUUUAUUGAGCCCAAAAGCGGAUGGGCGGUUGGCUUUGUUUAGGUGAUUUUUAUCUUGAAGGAAAUUUAUUCCGACCAUUUGAUAAAUUCUGCUGCGUGCAAAAAGCAACCUUUCGAUGGAUCGUUAGUCUUGAAUCUCUUUUCACGAAUACUGUAAAACGAAAAAGACGCAUGAAUCAGUUUCGAAGGUCUCCGAUGGGCUACAAAUUAUUGUUGCGAUGGAUAGAAACGCUGAGCUAUUUUGGAAAGUUUUCAGAGAGUCAUAGACUUGCUUGCAGGAAAGAAGGAUAAUGGGAUAUUGAGAUGAAAGUCAAAUUACUCCCAUUUAGGCACAGGUAGACGAAACCAUCUAAAUAACCAUGGUGUUGUGAGAUAAAUCCUGGUACCGUUACGGACUGAUUCACGUUCGAUCUCGAAGAUUGAUAUUGAUGCUCAAUCUUUGGUGAAUUGUUCUAUUGAAUGCUUCAUCCAUAAAUGAUGAUUGUUUAACUUAAAUGAAUUAAACUAGUAUAUUCCUUUGUUAA